rnacentral:rRNA from 1 species
CACGUAGGCACCAAGCGUUGUCCGGAAUUAUUGGGCGUAAAGAGCUUGUAGGCGGUUUGUCGCGUCUGCUGUGAAAAUCCGGGGCUCAACCCCGGACUUGCAGUGGGUACGGGCAGACUAGAGUGUGGUAGGGGAGACUGGAAUUCCUGGUGUAGCGGUGAAAUGCGCAGAUAUCAGGAGGAACACCAGUGGCGAAGGCGGCUCACUGGCCCGGUACUGACGCUGAGGUGCGAAAGCGUGGGGAGCAAACAGG